rnacentral:rRNA from 1 species
AGAAUCAACGCUGGCGGCGUGCCUAACACAUGCAAGUCGAACGAGAAAGGGGAGCAAUCCCUGAGUAAAGUGGCGACCGGGUGAGUAACACGUGACUAACCUACCUUCGAGUGGGGGAUAACUCCGGGAAACCGGGGCUAAUACCGCAUAACAUCCUCGGAUCGGAAGAACUGGGGAUCAAAGGAGCAAUUCGCUUGAAGAGGGAGUCGCGGCUGAUUAGCUUGUUGGCGGGGUAAUGGCCCACCAAGGCGAUGAUCGGUA